UUUUUGAAUUAAUAAUUUAAAGUCUAAUCUGCCCACUGAUAAUAAAUUAAAGGGCUGCAGUAUUUUGACUGUACAAAGGUAGCAUAAUCAUUAGUCUCUUAAUUAGUGACUUGUAUGAAAGAUUUGAUGAAAUAUAUACUGUCUCUUUUUAAUUAAUAGAAUUUAAUUUUUUAGUUAAAAAGCUAAAAUAUUUUUAAAAGACGAGAAGACCCUAUAGAGUUUAAUAUUUAAUUUAUAUUAAAAUUUUUUAUAAAAUUUAUAAUUUUAAUAUAUAUGAAUAUUUUGUUGGGGUGACAAAAAAAUUAAAAUAACUUUUUUUUUUAAUUUUACAUUAAUAAAUGAUUAAUUGAUCCGUAAUUUACGAUUAUAAGAAAAAAUUACCUUAGGGAUAACAGCGUAAUUUUUUUUUUUAGUUCAAAUAAGAAAAAGAGUUUGCGACCUCGAUGUUGGAUUAAGAUAAAAUUUAAAUGCAAAAGUUUAAAAUUUUUGAUCUGUUCGAUCAUUAAAAUCUUACA
rnacentral:rRNA from 1 species